rnacentral:lncRNA from 1 species
AGACAGGCAGACACAAGCAGGUGAUGUUGGGGUAACAAAAACACACAGACAACCACACAAUCACAGCACUGUUGGGGCACAUGGUGGAGUUGGGGUAACAUGAAAACAUGCACACACACAGACAGAGAGAGAGACACACACACACACACAGAGAGAGAGAGAGAGAGACACACACACACACACAGAGACACACACAUACACGCAUACAAGCACACAGAGAGAGAGACACACACAUACAUACACACACACAGAGUCUCACACACAUACACACACACACACACACAGUCUCACACACACAGUCACACACACAUACACGCACACAGUCACACACACACACAGUCUCACACAUACAUGUACACACACACACAUUGUAGCAAGCUACAUUUCCCAUAGAAUAUUUCAACGAUUACUCUUGACAAUAACUGUUAAUUCGUUAAUGAUUCGACUCGAGUUUUGUACAUGUUAUGAGUUUCGUCACAUGUCUCGAACAUGGCGGUUGUUCGCAGCAAACCCUUAGAAUACUUCAACGAUUACUCUUGACAAUAACUGUUAUUUCGUUAAUGAUUCGACCCGAGUUUCGUACAUGUUACGAGUUUCGUCACAUGUCUCGAACAUGGCGGUUGUUCGUAGCAAACCUAAUGGGCUGGGGCCCCGGGGCCCCACCGACAUUAUCCUAGUACGGCAGGACCAUGGUAGGGAAUGUCCGGCAGGUAGGCCGAGAUAUAAGCUACCCGGGCGGGGUGCACUGGCCAGACACUGAAGUAUCACGAAUACUAGGUGUUCGGAGUUCAAGUCUCCGCUGCCGCCAUAUAGAUUGUUUUUGUAUACGCGUCUAUGCAGACUAGUGCUUGCCUCGGCGAGGACUGUCAACUCAACGCUUCCGGGUAACAGGCUGUUGGGAGUUAGAGAUUGAUCAACGUCAUGACCAACCUAACAGCUGUGAGCACACAGCACGCACCUGCAGGCUUUGUGACUGCAGGGCGGUUCAAGGCGAAAUGCAUGCCUUUGUGAAAUGCCCGGUGUACACUAGUACACGGGCUAAGUACGAACAUGACCUCGCGUUUCAAGGGUUCAACGUGCACACGAUUUCACUGAGGCCCCACCCCUGGCACUAGCCAGGUUCCCCUCGGAAGUCUGGGAGACCCGGCACGUUGCUCUAUGGCGCUUCAUAUGCUCAAGUGGACGAGGGAGGACAAUGAUGGUCCACCAUGUAACUGCACUUCAAACGAUUUACCGUCCAUGGGCACGCCAGCUUUUAUGGACAACCCCGCACUUGUAUGGAACUUGUAACACACUCAAACACAUACAAAGACAGACACACAGACACACCCACCCACCCAUUUCAGUCAAACACACACACACACACAGACAGACAGACACACGGACAGACAAACAGAGACAGACAAAAGGAGAGACACANNNNNNNNNNNNNNNNNNNNNNNNNNNNNNNNNNNNNNNNNNNNNNNNNNUCUCCGAGCUUAAGUUUUCCCAAAGCUCUCAGCCCAGUGCAGAGAGACUGUACGUCCUGUACUUGAUCAAGUACUGCACAUACAGUCUCUCUGCACUGGGCUGUGAGCUUUGGAAAAUAUAAAAGAUACCCGUGGGAGCAUUUNUUAGUCAUGAAGCUUCAGACUUAAGUCAGACUCUUCAUCUAUCUUCAUCUAGCUAUCCAUGCCUACGUACCUAAUCUAUCGAGAUAGACAGACAAACAGACAGAUGGGUAGUUGUAUACAAACAGACAGACAGACAGGCAGACACAAGCAGGUGAUGUUGGGGUAACAAAAACACACAGACAACCACACAAUCACAGCACUGUUGGGGCACAUGGUGGAGUUGGGGUAACAUGAAAACAUGCACACACACAGACAGAGAGAGAGAGACACACACACACACACACACACAGAGAGAGAGAGACACACACACACACACACAGACACACACACACACACAGAGAGACACACACACACAUAGACACACACACACACACAGAGAGAGACACAUACACGCACACAAGCACACAGAGAGAGAGAGACACACACACAUAGAUACACACACAGAGUCUCACACACACACAGAGUCUCACACACACAGUCACACACACAUACACGCACACAGUCACACACACACAGUCUCACACAUACAUGUACACACACAUUGUAGCAAGCUACAUUUCCCAUAGAAUAUUUCAACGAUUACUCUUGACAAUAACUGUUAAUUCGUUAAUGAUUCGACUCGAGUUUUGUACAUGUUAUGAGUUUCGUCACAUGUCUCGAACAUGGCGGUUGUUCGCAGCAAACCCUUAGAAUACUUCAACGAUUACUCUUGACAAUAACUGUUAUUUCGUUAACGAUUCGACCCGAGUUUCGUACAUGUUACGAGUUUCGUCACAUGUCUCGAAUAUGGCGGUUGUUCGUAGCAAACCUAAUGGGCUGGGGCCCCGGGGCCCCACCGACAUUAUCCUAGUACUGCAGGACCAUGGUAGGGAAUGUCCGGCAG